UACGGAGGGUGCAAGCAUUAAUCGGAUUUAUUGGGCGUAAAGGGCGUGUAGGCGGGGAUAAAAGUCAGAUGUGAAAUCCCGAGGCUCAACCUCGGAACAGCAUUUGAAACUAAAUUUCUUGAGGAUAGGCGGGGAAAACGGAAUUCCACAAGUAGCGGUGAAAUGCGUAGAUAUGUGGAAGAACACCGGUGGCGAAGGCGGUUUUCUAGCUUAGACCUGACGCUGAGGCGCGAAAGCAAGGGGAGCAAAC
rnacentral:rRNA from 1 species